GGGAGGUAGUGACAAUAAAUAACAAUACGGGGUUCUUUCGGAUUUCGUAAUUGGAAUGAGUACAAUUUAAAUCUCUUAACGAGGAACAAUUGGAGGGCAAGUCUGGUGCCAGCAGCCGCGGUAAUUCCAGCUCCAAUAGCGUAUAUUAAAGUUGUUGCAGUUAAAAAGCUCGUAGUUGAAUUUCGGGAUCAAUUUACUGGUCGUGCAAUCGUACGUACUGGUUUUAUUGAUUCCUCUCUUCUGAAGAACUAUGAUGUCAUUAAUUUGGUGUCAUAGGGAAUCAGGACUGUUACUUUGAAAAAUUAGAGUGUUUAAAGCAGGCUCACGCUUGAAUACAUUAGCAUGGAAUAACGAAAUAGGACGUUUGAUUCUAUUUUGUUGGUUUCUAGGAUCGACGUAAUGAUUAAUAGGGAUAGUUGGG
rnacentral:rRNA from 1 species